UUUAUUAUCAGGGACACGUCAGGCUGUGGAAGUCUCUGUGUACUCUAGUCCACCACAACUGGUAUUGCCUCAGCUAGUGCGUUGUGUCCACACUUGCAUCUCCUUCUGCUAACCUACAUUGCAUGUUAUACUGAGCCACCCUCCAUGUGUUUGGCACCCAGCACCUGCAACGCUCCGGUAACCCACGGAUGCUUACCCCCAGAUGGGUCAGUACAGGCUGCAGUGAAUAAGCCACUAAUCCGGAUAUCUACAGCGUGCCACUUACCAUAUAGGAAGGAACGUUUCCAUGCAUCAAGGAUUUGGAGAGAUUCACUCUGCUCUGGAGUCCCUAUAUAAUCCAGGUGAUGCUCUCAGCUUGCUGAACAAAGAAGAUGCUGCCAUGUUCCAGGAGCAGCUGCAUAAAGAGAAGUCUAAUUACAAAUGAAUGCAGGCUGCCUUCCAGAGAGAUCCGCAGUGCACCAAUAGGGAGAUUACCCAGCUCAAUGCGCUUCUGGCCGGGAGACUCCCUAAGGGUUCGAUCUUCAUUCACAUGUGGAAAUUGGAAAAAGAAAUGGUGACUUAUUCCAGACCAUUUGCUAAUGCUUUGGGAAGAUCUCGAAAAUUGGCUUGUUAGUCUGGGUAUAAAAGUUUGCCCGGUGGGGAGGAGAACCUUACAGACCAGGUGCGUGCUACACUCUGACGUUACAUUACCCAUCACAAAGGUUGCUACAGGUUACAUAUAUUGGCACGUCCGCAUUGUGUGACUGUUUCCUAUUCAUGGUUUCUGUGUGGCUAGAACGUUAUCUACAACUAGAGCAGCGUUUCUGGAAAGGGAAUUCUUGUUGAAUAAACGAAAUGUUAGAGGAUCUACUAACUGCUGGCUAAUUUUUACAACCUGGGCUGAUAACAUUUUCUC